UAGUUCAGAUUAUGAGAAAUAUUAUCAACAGCCCUGGAUCAACUUAUUGCUACUAAUUUCGAAUCCUGCUUAUUAAGAUAAGUAUAUAAUUAUCGUCUAGAAUGGAACUCAAAAAAUAAAAUCUUUUUUUUAAUUGUUUUUUUAUUUCUUUGCAAUUCUUGAACAUUAAAUCUAAGCACUAUGUAGGACACAUUAUAGUUAGAUAAUCGUCUAGUGUCAUUUACAAUAAUUCAUUUGAUUCACAGGCGCUGAUCUGUUUUUCAGUUGCUUAAAUAAUGAGAAAUUAUAGUUGUUAAAACCUUCAAACAAGAUUUUUGCCGUUAAAGUUCUUGUAAAAUGUUUUACUGUUUGUUUUCUACUUUCAAUUUUUCAAUUAAUCUUUUCUAUUCAUUUAUUGAAUUUCAGUACUGGUUGGAUGUCCUCAAACCAUUAUGUUCACAGCUGCAUUCUUUUUUUCCAAGUAUGUAUUUUUGUGUUAAGUUUUACACUCCAGUCCCUGUGUAACUAGAGGAUGAAUUCACAAGAUAUCUGUUUGGUUUGCAAAUCAAAAAGGAUUUCAUAAGUGGUGCUUUACAAUGCAAUGAUAGCACUGCUGCAGUUUUGCUCUCUUACAUUGUUCAAGAUGUGUGUGAAUAUAAGCCUUGUCAGACAAUGACGUCUUGAAUUUGUUCUGUGCUUCAACUUGGUCAGUGUUGCAAAAUAUGAGAUGUACAUUGCACAUUAUACAGUGAGAUACGAGAUGUACAUAA